AAAAAGGCAAACCUUAUAUUUUGGUGUCCAAUUUUGACUGUCCGUCUUAUAUGAAAUUUUUUUAUAAUUCAUAUUUUCAUUGUUGUUAGAUGAUAAAACAUUAUUAAUAUUUUAUGCAUGACUUAUUUUAUUAAUUUUUUUUAUAAUUUUUUUAAAUAAGACGGAUAGACACGGAAACAAGGGUUUGUCUUUUU
rfam:Oryza rufipogon genomic scaffold, chr05